rnacentral:rRNA from 1 species
AGCGGCGGACGGGUGAGUAACGCGUGGGUAACCUGCCCUGUACACACGGAUAACAUACCGAAAGGUAUGCUAAUACGGGAUAACAUAAGAAAUUCGCAUGUUUUUCUUAUCAAAGCUCCGGCGGUACAGGAUGGACCCGCGUCUGAUUAGCUAGUUGGUGAGGUAACGGCUCACCAAGGCGACGAUCAGUAGCCGGACUGAGAGGUUGAACGGCCACAUUGGGACUGAGACACGGCCCAGACUCCUACGGGAGGCAGCAGUGGGGGAUAUUGCACAAUGGGGGAAACCCUGAUGCAGCGACGCCGCGUGGAGGAAGAAGGUUUUCGGAUUGUAAACUCCUGUCGUUAGGGACGAUAAUGACGGUACCUAACAAGAAAGCACCGGCUAACUACGUGCCAGCAGCCGCGGUAAAACGUAGGGUGCAAGCGUUGUCCGGAAUUACUGGGUGUAAAGGGAGCGCAGGCGGACCGGCAAGUUGGAAGUGAAAACUAUGGGCUCAACCCAUAAAUUGCUUUCAAAACUGCUGGCCUUGAGUAGUGCAGAGGUAGGUGGAAUUCCCGGUGUAGCGGUGGAAUGCGUAGAUAUCGGGAGGAACACCAGUGGCGAAGGCGACCUACUGGGCACCAACUGACGCUGAGGCUCGAAAGCAUGGGUAGCAAACAGGAUUAGAUACCCUGGUAGUCCAUGCCGUAAACGAUGAUUACUAGGUGUUGGAGGAUUGACCCCUUCAGUGCCGCAGUUAACACAAUAAGUAAUCCACCUGGGGAGUACGACCGCAAGGUUGAAACUCAAAGGAAUUGACGGGGGCCCGCACAAGCAGUGGAGUAUGUGGUUUAAUUCGAAGCAACGCGAAGAACCUUACCAGGUCUUGACAUCCGAUGCAUAGCGCAGAGAUGCGUGAAGUCCUUCGGGACAUCGAGACAGGUGGUGCAUGGUUGUCGUCAGCUCGUGUCGUGAGAUGUUGGGUUAAGUCCCGCAACGAGCGCAACCCUCAUUGCCAGUUACUACGCAAGAGGACUCUGGCGAGACUGCCGUUGACAAAACGGAGGAAGGUGGGGAUGACGUCAAAUCAUCAUGCCCUUUAUGACCUGGGCUACACACGUACUACAAUGGCGUUUAACAAAGAGAAGCAAGACCGCGAGGUGGAGCAAAACUCAAAAACAACGUCUCAGUUCAGAUUGCAGGCUGCAACUCGCCUGCAUGAAGUCGGAAUUGCUAGUAAUCGCGGAUCAGCAUGCCGCGGUGAAUACGUUCCCGGGCCUUGCACACACCGCCCGUCA